GGAUGAACGCUGGCGGCGUGCCUAAUACAUGCAAGUCGUACGUGUGUAGCAAUACACAAGUGGCGAACGGGUGAGUAACACGUAGGUAACCUGCCUUGAAGACUGGGAUACCUGAGGGAAACUUCAGACAAUACCGGAUGAUAACUAGAGGGACAUCCCUCUAGGAUGAAAGGCGCAGCAAUGCGUCACUUCGAGAUGGACCUGCGGCGCAUUAGCUAGUUGGUGAGGUAACGGCUCGCCAAGGCGACGAUGCGUAGCCGACCUGAGAGGGUGAUCGGCCACAAUGGAACUGAGACACGGUCCAUACUCCUACGGGAGGCAGCAGUAGGGAGUUUUCGGCAAUGGGGGCAACCCUGACCGAGCAACGCCGCGUGAGUGAAGACGGUCUUCGGAUUGUAAAACUCUGUUGUGAGGGACGAAUGGUAGGGAUAGGAAAUGAUCUCUAUUUGACAGUACUUCAUUAGAAAGCCAUGGCUAACUAUGUGCCAGCAGCCGCGGUAAUACAUAGGUGGCAAGCGUUAUCCGGAGUUAUUGGGCGUAAAGCGUGAGUAGGUGGUCUUUUAAGUCUAAGGUCAAAUGCAGUAGCUCAACUACUGUUCGCUUUGGAUACUGAAAGACUCGAGUGCGAGAGGGGUAAGCGGAAUUCCAUGUGUAGCGGUGAAAUGCGUAGAUAUAUGGAGGAACACCAGUGGCGAAGGCGGCUUACUGGCUCGUAACUGACACUCAGUCACGAAAGCGUGGGGAGCAAAUAGGAUUAGAUACCCUAGUAGUCCACGCUGUCAACGAUGGAUGCUAGAUAUUGGGGCAACUCAGUGUCGAAGCUAACGCGAUAAGCAUCCCGCCUGGGUAGUACGUUCGCAAGAAUAAAACUUAAAGGAAUUGACGGGAGCCCGCACAAGCAGUGGAGCAUGUGGUUUAAUUCGACGCUACGCGAAGAACCUCACCAGGGCUUGACAUCUGGUUAAAUACCCUAGAGAUAGGGGGGUAGUCAUAACCAAGACAGGUGGUGCAUGGUUGUCGUCAGCUCGUGUCGUGAGAUGUUGGGUUAAGUCCCGCAACGAGCGCAACCCUUGUCCUUAUUUGCCAUCAUUAAGUUGGGAACUAUAAGGAGACUGCCGAUGUAAAUCGGAGGAAGGUGGGGAUGACGUCAAAUCAUCAUGCCCUUUAUGUCCUGGGCCACACACGUGCUACAAUGGCCGAUACAAAGAGUCGCGAACCCGUAAGGAUCUGCUAAUCUCAAAAAAUCGGUCUCAGUUCAGAUUGAGGUCUGCAACUCGACCUCAUGAAGCUGGAAUUGCUAGUAAUCGCGAAUCAGCUACGUCGCGGUGAAUACGUUCUCGGGCUUUGUACUCACCGC
rnacentral:rRNA from 1 species